rnacentral:rRNA from 1 species
UACGUAGGGGGCGAGCGUUGUCCGGAAUCAUUGGGCGUAAAGCGCGCGUAGGCGGCCUCUUAAGUCUGAUGUGAAAGCCCACGGCUCAACCGUGGAGGGCCAUUGGAAACUGGGAGGCUUGAGUGCAGGAGAGGAGAGCGGAAUUCCUGGUGUAGCGGUGAAAUGCGUAGAGAUCAGGAGGAACACCGAUGGCGAAGGCAGCUCUCUGGCCUGUAACUGACGCUGAGGCGCGAAAGCGUGGGGAGCAAACAGG